ACAAAAUAAAAGGUAAUCCUGGGAGAAAAGCUAUUAGAGACGUAAGACUGUGGCAGAAGUUCAACAUCCAUUAGGACAUUGACUCUGAACAUACAGCCAGAGCUACAAGAUAAUGGUUUAGAUCAAAGCCUGUUUGUG